GCCUACAACCAGAACCUCCGUGCGGCUCAGAGGUCAACAGGGAAGCCUCCGGGCUAUCCGAGAGAAUGCACACAGAGGGGAAUCCGUUCUUCCAGCCCCGCCCCAGGCAUGGGCCUUAACAUUCCUACAAGUGAUUGGGCAUUACAAGAACCAGCACGGCUCCUGGAUGUUAAGUUCUGCAUUUCAGUUACUAUUGGGGGUUAAAGGUCAUCAGGAAAUCCGCUAAAGCAAGGCCUGAAAAUCACCCAAAUUCCGACAGCAGCUCCGUGGAGGGCCUACCACACGGGGCGUACUGAGAAGCUCACUGAACUCCAAAUAGCUGCUGUUAAGUGUCCCCUUCAAAGGUCGCCUCCCUGGAGAGGCCUUCCCUGAACUCCCUGGCCGAAGGGCCACAGGCAUCCAUAUUACUGAGCUCGUCGAAUGUGGCCCUCUCUCAAGCGUUCUUGUUUAUUUCUUCAUCUACCUGUGGACCCACAUCUGCCUUCCGUCCUUCACCCCCAUUAGGUUGGCGCUGGGAUGACCCGGUUUCACAGACGGGGAAAUCGAGGCGCGGAGAGGCACCUACUGUGUGCCGGGCCUCAGGGACCUCACGCCGACCCCGAGACCGGAACUGCGAUCCCCUAGUUCCAGGGAAGGCUGAGGCCGAAGAGUCUGAGCUUGAUCGUCCCGCUCGGGAGCCAGGCUCGGGCCUCGAACCCGGGGCCACCCCGCGGACCCGCGCCCCCCGGCCCCACCCGCCCGCCCGUGCCUACCUGAUCCGCGGCCGGGCCGGGCGGCCGCGCAGGCCCCUUCGCUAGCCCCGGCCCUGGUCCCGGCCCGGCCGGUCCCCUCAGCGCCGCUAGCUUCGCUCG